rnacentral:rRNA from 1 species
UACGAGGGGGGCGAGCGUUGUUCGGAAUUAUUGGGCGUAAAGGGUGCGUAGGCGGUUUGGUAAGUCUGAUGUGAAAUCUAUGGGCUCAACUCAUAGUCUGCAUCGGAAACUGCCGGGCUUGAGUAUGGGAGAGGUGAGUGGAAUUCCUGGUGUAGCGGUGAAAAUGCGUAGAUAUCAGGAGGAACACCUGUGGCGAAAAGCGGCUCACUGGACCAUAACUGACGCUGAUGCACGAAAGCUAGGGGAGCAAACAGG